rnacentral:rRNA from 1 species
UGCGAGUCGAACGGGCACUUCGGUGCUAGUGGCAGACGGGUGAGUAACACGUGGGAACGUACCUUUCGGUUCGGAAUAAUACAGGGAAACUUGUACUAAUACCGGAUACGCCCUUCGGGGGAAAGAUUUAUCGCCGAUAGAUCGGCCCGCGUCUGAUUAGCUAGUUGGUGAGGUAAUGGCUCACCAAGGCGACGAUCAGUAGCUGGUCUGAGAGGAUGAUCAGCCACACUGGGACUGAGACACGGCCCAGACUCCUACGGGAGGCAGCAGUGGGGAAUAUUGGACAAUGGGCGCAAGCCUGAUCCAGCCAUGCCGCGUGUGUGAUGAAGGCCUUAGGGUUGUAAAGCACUUUUGUCCGGGAAGAUAAUGACUGUACCGGAAGAAUAAGCCCCGGCUAACUUCGUGCCAGCAGCCGCGGUAAUACGAAGGGGGCUAGCGUUGCUCGGAAUCACUGGGCGUAAAGGGCGCGUAGGCGGACUUUUAAGUCGGGGGUGAAAGCCCAGGGCUCAACCCUGGAAUUGCCUUCGAUACUGAGAGUCUUGAGUUCGGAAGAGGUUGGUGGAACUGCGAGUGUAGAGGUGAAAUUCGUAGAUAUUCGCAAGAACACCAGUGGCGAAGGCGGCCAACUGGUCCGAUACUGACGCUGAGGC